rnacentral:tRNA from 1 species
CCGACCUUAGCUCAGUUGGUAGAGCGGAGGACUGUAGAUCCUUAGGUCGCUGGUUUGAAUCCGGCUGGUCGGA